rnacentral:rRNA from 1 species
CCUACGGGAGGCAGCAGUGGGGGAUAUUGCACAAUGGGGGAAACCCUGAUGCAGCGACGCCGCGUGGGCGAAGAAGUAUUUCGGUAUGUAAAGCCCUAUCAGCAGGGAAGAAGAAAUGACGGUACCUGAGAAAGAAGCACCGGCUAAAUACGUGCCAGCAGCAGCGGUAAUACGUAUGGUGCAAGCGUUAUCCGGAUUUACUGGGUGUAAAGGGAGCGCAGGCGGCAGGGCAAGCCUGAUGUGAAAGCCCGCGGCCCAACCGCGGGACUGCAUUGGGAACUACCGGGCUGGAGUGCCGGAGAGGUAGGCGGAAUUCCUAGUGUAGCGGUGAAAUGCGUAGAUAUUAGGAGGAACACCAGUGGCGAAGGCGGCUUACUGGACAGUAACUGACGUUGAGGCUCGAAAGCGUGGGGAGCAAACAGGAUUAGAUACCCCAGUAGUC